rnacentral:rRNA from 1 species
GUGGGGAAUAUUGGACAAUGGGCGCAAGCCUGAUCCAGCCAUGCCGCGUGAGUGAUGAAGGCCUUAGGGUUGUAAAGCUCUUUCACCGAUGAAGAUAAUGACGGUAGUCGGAGAAGAAGCCCCGGCUAACUUCGUGCCAGCAGCCGCGGUAAUACGAAGGGGGCUAGCGUUGUUCGGAUUUACUGGGCGUAAAGCGCACGUAGGCGGUUUGUUAAGUCAGAGGUGAAAUCCCGGAGCUCAACUCCGGAACUGCCUUUGAUACUGGCAAGCUAGAGUCCGGAAGAGGUAAGUGGAACUCCUAGUGUAGAGGUGGAAUUCGUAGAUAUUAGGAAGAACACCAGUGGCGAAGGCGGCUUACUGGUCCGGAACUGACGCUGAGGUGCGAAAGCGUGGGGAGCAAACAGGAUUAGAUACCCGUGUAGUCC